rnacentral:piRNA from 1 species
UCAUAAGCUAAUAGCCAGUUUUGUCUGAUG